rnacentral:rRNA from 1 species
AUGAACGCUAGCUACAGGCUUAACACAUGCAAGUCGAGGGGCAGCAUGGUCUUAGCUUGCUAAGGCCGAUGGCGACCGGCGCACGGGUGAGUAACACGUAUCCAACCUGCCGUCUACUCUUGGACAGCCUUCUGAAAGGAAGAUUAAUACAAGAUGGCAUCAUGAGUCCACAUGUUCACAUGAUUAAAGGUAUUCCGGUAGACGAUGGGGAUGCGUUCCAUUAGAUAGUAGGCGGGGUAACGGCCCACCUAGUCUUCGAUGGAUAGGGGUUCUGAGAGGAAGGUCCCCCACAUUGGAACUGAGACACGGUCCAAACUCCUACGGGAGGCAGCAGUGAGGAAUAUUGGUCAAUGGGCGAGAGCCUGAACCAGCCAAGUAGCGUGAAGGAUGACUGCCCUAUGGGUUGUAAACUGCUUUAUAAGGGAAUAAAGUGAGUCUCGUGAGACUUUUGCAUGUACCUUAUGAAUAAGGACCGGCUAAUUCCGUG